rnacentral:tRNA from 1 species
GGGCCCGUGGUGUAGGUGGUAGCAUGUCGCCCUUACGAGGCGGUGGACGGACGUUGUCCGGCCGACUCCCGGGUUCAAGUCCCGGCGGGCCCACCA